rnacentral:rRNA from 1 species
CAGUCGCCGCGGUAAUACGAAGGGUGCAAGCGUUAAUCGGAAUUACUGGGCGUAAAGCGUGCGUAGGCGGUGAGUUAAGUCUGCUGUGAAAUCCCCGGGCACAACCUGGGAAUGGCAGUGGAUACUGGCUCGCUAGAGUGUGUCAGAGGAUGGUGGAAUUCCCGGUGUAGCGGUGAAAUGCGUAGAGAUCGGGAGGAACAUCAGUGGCGAAGGCGGCCAUCUGGGACAACACUGACGCUGAGGCACGAAAGCGUGGGGAGCAAACAGGAUUAGAUACCCCAGUAGUCCCUGUCUCUUAUAA